rnacentral:misc_RNA from 1 species
AUGAAGGCGUUCAACGCCGGAGAUGCCGCCGGAGCUGCAUCUGUCUAUGACCCGGAUGGUUAUUUCAUGCCAAAUGGACGUAAUCCGGUGAAGGGGCGUUCUGGUGAGUCAGAUAGAAAAAGAUAAAAAUUUAUUUUUAUUUGUUGAGCAAUUUGGUUUAGUUCUAGCCGAUGCACCAUAAAAGUGACAUCAUUUUAGGAAUCGAAGCCUACUUCAAAGAAGACAUGGCCGACGGAGUUCAGACUGCUCAAAUCAUCACCGAGGAGGUGAACGGAGGUGGCGACUGGGCGUUCGAAAGAGGAAGCUAUCACCUGGACGGCACUAAAGGUCGCGAAUCGGGAGCUUAUCUUCAGAUCUGGAAGAAGGUCGAAGGUGUCUGGCUUAUCCAUAACGACUGCUUCAAUGUCAUUAAGAAUGCCUGUUAA